rnacentral:lncRNA from 12 species
AAAUAAAAUUUACUAUGGCAUUUCCUAAACUGAAAUUUACUAUCUUUUUCAGGUUUUAUUUCAGUAUAUGAAAGAACACAAUAUUACCUCUUUUAGGGAUAUAUUAUUAUCUCUGCCUGUCAUCUAAAAUUAACUAGAAAAAUCAUAUUACAAAGUGAAGUAUCAACAACUAAGCUGUGUGAAGUGCUGUAAUGAAGUGGGAGAAAGAGCAGAAUGUGACAAAAAUAUGACAAAGGAGUUAAGAAAAAUAUUUCAGGAACAAAGAGAACUAAUUAACUCAAGCAUAUGGUUCAUCUCACUCUGAGUAUCAGAGUAUUCCCUUAUAAAAUGACAUUCAACAAGUUAAGAAGAUGUGAUAGAAAUAUGAGAAAGUGUACCAAUGUGCUUUAAUUCAUUAGGACUCUUUGGCUUUCCCCUCCUGCUUUCCCUUAUUGCUUCUGUCGCUGCUCCAUCUGCUCCAUCUGUUGAGGUCCACUUAUAAGUGUGCUUGUUGGUUUAAGAAAAAGCAUGCCAAACGAAAGGCUUCCAAUAAGUGAUUUUUCUGCUAAAAUGUAAGGUAAUUUGUAGAGCCAUCAAAGUCCAAAUGUUUUUUAACUCUCA